GAUGAAGAACGUAGCAAAAUGCGAUAAGUAAUGUGAAUUGCAGAAUUCAGUGAAUCAUCGAAUCUUUGAACGCACAUUGCGCCCGCCAGUAUUCUGGCGGGCAUGCCUGUUCGAGCGUCAUUUCAACCCUCAAGCACAGCUUGGUGUUGGGACUCGCGUUAAUUCGCGUUCCCCAAAUUGAUUGGCGGUCACGUCGAGCUUCCAUAGCGUAGUAGUAAAACCCUCGUUACUGGUAAUCGUCGCGGCCACGCCGUUAAACCCCAACUUCUGAAUGUUGACCUCGGAUCAGGUAGGAAUACCCGCUGAACUUAGGCAUAUCAAUAAGCGGAGGA
rnacentral:misc_RNA from 1 species